UGGAACAGCAGGUGUCUAUGAUCUGCAGAGAAAAGAUGUGUUGCUAAGAAAGCCUGCCAUGCGCUCAAGCGUUCAGGUGUAUGCCAUGUAGGCUCGUUCUUCCAGGGUUGGGUCUGCUGUCACGCAGCCAAUGCAAGCAGCAGCUUUAUGGAGGGGGUUUCAGAAGAGCCGGGCUUGGUGGAGAUGGGCACUGUAAAAGUGAAUCCCCAAGAGCGAGCACUUCCUGAUGCACAUACAUUUCGAAUGACAGUCGUGUUGUGGAGAUGAGGAGGAUUGAGGCUUGGAGAAAAAUUGAUUUGUUGAAGUCCAUCCAAGUGAGCACGUGGCCUGACAGGAGCUGAUGAAGGAGCCUGACCUGAGUGCAGAGCGAAGAUACCAGUGGUGCCCAUUAGACAACGUCAGGAAACUUAGUGUGGAGGACCUGCUGGACACUGGCGCUGCUAGCAGAGAAAGGGAGCGAGGCAGGAUGGGCCAAUAGAAGCAGCAACAAGACUACAGGUCACAUCUACUGACUGUACGCCUGGUACCUGGUUUUUGGUCUGGAUCCCUCCAAUACGGCAUAAAGUCUACAAAAGCAAGUGCCUUGUCUGCUUAUUCACACUGAUUCCCUGGCACUGGAACAUUCUAUAGAGAUCCUGAAAAAGAGGAAACAGAGAAACAAACAAGCCAAAACGAUUGACAGAAGAAGCCUAGGGUGUGAUUAUUUACCUAUGCACGAUGGCAACAGAACUACUGAUUCAACCAGCAUAGUUCCUGGCCAGUGAGGACAUUGUCUGUAAAGUGCAGUUACAUGGGAACCUGCUCUGGAUUAAGGCCAUCUUUGUGUCUUGUGAAAAUGCUGCUGCUUUGGCUAGAGUCUCGACUCUUGGAGGAAGCUAAGCCUUUGGGAGCUCAACUGGUGAAAGCUACUUCCCUCCUUCUGAUUUGGGGCUGUAUUUUUCUUCUUACACAUGCAAAUAGGUGCUGAGAUUCAAUGUUAAUGUGCUCAUGGGGCAUUUGGGCAUUGUGUGUUAAAGCAUUUCUACAUGCGUCAACUUCUGGAGAUGAGAAUGGCAUCAAAUUUUAAACAAGCUACAAAGCUGGACCACAGUUGAAAGUGAAAAUCCUCUCCUAAGUACCAGUGACGAACAACUGAAUUCUUCUCUCUCCAUCUUGGAAUUGAUGUGCGCUUAGUGUGUUUUCAAAAGAAAAUAAAAGACUACUUUGGGAUCUGUUAAGAGUUUGAGGUCAGCAAACUGUUUCCUGUAAUUCAUAUGAUGCGAAGUUAUCUUAAAGUAGACUUGAUGAAAGCAACCCUGAGAGCCUGCCCAUACACAGGGCCCUGACGCUUGUCAUGCAAAGAUUUGUCACGGCUGCUGUUCCAUCUGAGAAAGAUGGACGUAUAGGAUUACGGACCAUGCAUCUAUCAAGAUCAAAAGUACUGUUUGGGAUUUAAGUUGCUACACUGAAGGAUUCACUGAUGCCAAGUAGAAUACCACCUAAAGUUCAUGAGGUGGUCCUUCAGCAGUACUAAAUGAAACAUUUAGGAAGGCCUCCCAAAUGACACUGCUCUACUCAGCAAAACGGCAUCUUGAUAUACUUAUUGUAGAAAUUCACAAGGCACUUCUAAUACAAAGACAGUCCACUAGAUGCAGUUUACAAAGUCAGAGAACAUGGGAAACGGUGCUGCAGAUCAGCUUACAUGGAGCACACUUGGAAGAAACUGACGCUGUUGGUGGUGGAGUAGAAAAACAAAAAGAAUGGAGGUCCUUGAUGGCACUGCCAACCAACCCUGAAGUCUGUCUAACCUCUGAACUACCAGGUGCAGAGGCUUCUGGGAAGCAGGUAGCUGAGAACAAUGCAUCAACAGGAGCACCUUGCAGAGCUCCGGUGGGGGCUGCUGUGCCUCACAUGCACACACAGAACACACUCGCCCGUGGUCACUUACAUCCGUUUCAUCCUUCUUAAGGGAGGAAAAAUAAACGUGUAUGCUAAUAUGCUCCCAAGAUAUCUGCACAGCCUCGUCCACCUAUUAACUGAUAACUUCUCUCUAAUGUAUAAAAAGAGGGAUAUAUGUAAACCAUGCUUGGUGUUUUAGUAUUCUCUUUAUUUCUACGAAUUUUAAUUUUUAGAGGAUUGUCCGAGUAACCCCAAAUUUCUCAAUAUUAGUCAAAGGUCUCAAAGUUAACUAAAGAUUUUAGAAAUUAUGUUUACUUAUUUAUGCAAUGCAAAAAACCCACGAUUCCUGCUGAUAUUAUGAUUUUACCAGAGAAAUAUUUCAAUUUUUUGCUACCAAUUCAUAAGAAUUAAUACUUUUUAAUAAAGACAUGGCCUAUUCUAAUCUAAUUUGGAUGUUAUGAAUUUUAUUUUUAGUAAUUCUAAAUAUUUUGUGGAAAUGAUGCUUUACUUGGCCCAUAAAAUUAUUUUAGGAAUUUAGUUGGCUUAAAACAGGGUUUUCAUGGGAAAAUAAAACCAAGUUUUGUGUCGGGUAUAUUACUAUGUUAACAUUUUCAUGCUGUGAUAAAACUGGGAAAAGUUUAUUGUGCCAAGUUUUCACCUUGAUUAGGAAUAUUGUCUGAACUUCAUUUUAUAUUUGCAUGCACAUUUAAGA
ensembl:lncRNA